rnacentral:rRNA from 1 species
UAUAGAACAUAUGUUUAUAAGUAUAUAAAGAAAUUAUUUUGUGCAAAUAGCUAUGUUUUAGUGGGAGCAGUAAUGAUUUAUUUAAUAAAUAUUAACCCAAAGAGAAAUUUGAUAAAAAACGAAGCGAAUUGAAAUAUCUUAAUAGCUUUAGGAAAAGAAAUCAAAAGAGAUUCUAUUAUUAGUGUGAACGAAAGUAGAUAAGCCUAAAAAAAAGUAAAACAGAUUUAAAUCUUCUUGAACUUUAAGGGGAACCUUCCUCUAAGGCUAAAUAAUAAACAUAAGCGAUAGUGUAAUAGUACCGUGAGGGAAAUUUGUAAAAAGUGGUUUUAUAAGCAGUUCGAGCUAAAAAAAAGUAAGAACGUACCUUUUGCAUAAUGGGUCACCAAGUUAACUUUGGAUGCAAGUUAGCGCGUAGUUAAAACAAUCAUAAGUAAUGAUUAGUGUCUAAAGUUAGACCCGAAGCCUGGUGAUUUUACUACAAUCAGGAUUAUAAAAGUCCGAACGGUAUAUCGUUGCAAAGAUAUCCGAAGAAUUGUGGUAGGUAUAGUGAAAGACAACACUGACCAGGAAAGCUGGUUUUCUGCGAAACCUAUAAAAGUAGGCAAUCUUAGUAACAUCUUAGUAGGUACAGAACUUAAUCUCAGACAAAUAUAUAUAUUUGUAUAUAUCGGGGGAUCGUGAAGAUUUUAUCGGUGAGUAUGUAGACUCGGAAUGACAAAGAUGAAUCUAAGAUAAUCAGACAUAGAGUGAUAAGGUUGUAUGUCAAAAGGGAAACAGCCCAGAACAAGAGUUAAGGUUCCAAAAUUUAUAGUUGAGUGAAAUUAAGAAAGUUUCUAUUUAAGCCGACAAGGAGAUGGGCUUAGAAGCAGCCAUAAUUUAAUGAUCUCGUAAAAGAGCACUUGUUAAAUCUUUAGAAGCAUCGAAAAUUCAACGGAUCUAAACUAUAUACCGACACCUUGUCCAUUUAUAUUAUUAUAUCAGGGGGCCCACCCAGCAUAGCUGGGGGGCUUAUAAUUGUAUAGUAAGGGGUAGCAGAACAUUGAAUUAACAAUAGAAAUUUCUUUUUUAAAGAAAUAUGAAGGUAAUUCAAGAGAUAAUGGUGACAUUAGUAACAAUAAGAAGACAAGAAUACUUAAUAAAAAAAAGUAAAAGUCUCCGCCUAAAGCUUAUGGUCCGUAAAAAGUAACGGCCUCUAAAUUGAAAAUCUAAUGGUUUUAAUGAUGAGUAAAUCUUUUUUUACUAAAGGACGACGUUUUAAAGUGAAAAACGUACUGGAAAAAUAGUAAUAUAUCUAAAAAGAUGAAAAACAACCGUACCUGGAUUAACCGCAACAGGUAAGCUAGUAGAGAAUACGAAGGCGUAAAUGGGAUAACAAUCUUAAAGGAACUCGGCAAAUUUACUACGUAACUUCGGAAUAAGGAGGUCUCAUUAGUCUUGAUUAAUAUCAGGUAAAAAGGAAGAAGCAUGAAAUAAUGUUGUACGACUGUUUAAUUAAAACACAGCACUUUGCGUCAAAGAUUUAAAUCAAAGUAUAAAGUGUGAUGUCUGCCCGGUGCCGGCUGGUUAACAGAUAUAAUUAAAUUUUUUUAGGGAAUUUAGUGUAGACGGAACCCCCGGUUAAUGGCGGCCUUAACGUGAGGGUCCUAAGGUAGCGAAAUGCCUUGGCCGUUAAAUGCGGUCUUGCAUGAAUGAUGUAACGAUACAACAGCUGUCUCUAAGAUUGACCCAGUGAACUUGAAUUAGCAGUGCAGAUGCUGCUUACCUCUAGCUGGACGAGAAGACCCUAUGCAGCUUUACUGUUACUAAUUAUAGGGUAUAGAAGGCAAAUUUUAGAUAUAAGGUAUAUCGAUCGAUGAUUAUGAAAAUCCUUUAUUUUUCUUUUAUAUUUUUGAAUGAAAUCAGGAAUAUAUGCUUAACAGCUAUAUUAGUGAUUUAACCUAGUUCGAAUAAUGGCCUUGGGUGAGGAACUAUUGUUAGGAGACAGUUUAUGCGGGGCACAGACCCCAUAAAGAGUAAAUGGGAGUGUCUAAUAUUUAUAAUGUAAUAUCGUAUUUAUAUGAUAUUUUUUUUUGUUUGUUGUUUUAUGUAGGUAAACUACGUAUUAUCUUAUAUAAUUUUUUGUAUAUAUGCACGACCAUAUAUAUAUUUAAUAAAGUUUAUAUAGCAAUUUUUUGAUAGGUAAGAUUUUCUCUAAAGAGAAAUUAGAUGUACUGAAGAUAUUAUGAUAUUAAUCUAAUAUCUUCUUAGUUAUAAUUUAUUAUAAUAUUGAUUAGUACUUAGAAAGCUCAACGGCUUAAAUCUUGCCUUACUGUUUGAUUAACAACAAAUCUUUCAGUUGCGUAAGCAGGGCGUAGGAUCACAAGAUGCAUAAAGGAAAGAUCUUGUAUUAUAGGAAAAGCUACGCUAGGGAUGUUUGUCCUCCAAUAAUGCAAAUUAUUGGUUUAUAAUAACCAUUUUGUGAAAAAUGGAAAUAAUAAUGAUAACACAUAGAACAGGCUAAUUUGCGCAAGAGUGUACAAAAUGAGUGCGCGGUUUGGCACCUCGAUGUCGGCUUAACUUAUCCUCAUGGAUGCAAGAACUAUGUAGGGUACGACUGUUCGUCGAUUAAAAAGUUACAUGAGCUGGGUUAAAUACGUCGUGAGACAGUAUGGUUUCCAUCCUCUAGAGGGAAUUAGAAUAUAAUAAGGAUUAACCUUUGUACGAAAGGAACUGGUAGUAUAUAAUCUUAAAAAUUAUAUAACAUUUAUUAACCUAUGGUUUACCUGUUGUUUAUAUGCCCAAUAUUAAUUUAUAUAUAAUAUAUUAUUAUAUUAUAUGGGAUUAUACUAAAAUCACUUAAGUAUCUUUAUAGUAUAGGCACGGCAGGAAAGCUAAGUUAGUUAAAGAUAAGAACUGAAAGCAUAUAGGUUCGAAGCUUACCUUAGGAUAUUUCUUAAAUAUGCGUAAUAUAAUAUUACGAAUAUUAUUAUAGGCUUUAUUUGAAAGAAUUAGAAAUUUUUAAGAAUAAAGUACUAAUUUUAUAAAUUACUAAACAUUAAUAUAUCUUACAUUUUUAAUA